CCCUUAAUCCAAUGGAUAAGAGUAUGAGUUUAAGAAAAUAAUUACCCAAUUUGUAGGGUAUGGGCAAUAGAUAAGGCACUACAAGAAAAAGUGUAAAACCCUAAACUUUUGGGGGAUGAUACUUGAAAUUUCUUUAAAACAAGGAGGGGUUUAACUGAAAAAAAAAAGAGAGAGAAAUGUUUAGGUGUUAAAAAAAUUUAAAUAAAGAAAACCUUAAUCAAACCUAAUAUAAAUACAAGACUUGCCCCGGGAGUCGUGAAAAAAAAAAAAAGAAAACUUUUCUCCUCUCUCAUCUCUGUGGCGCCGCCCCACUCCACCACCUAUCUAUGCCGUCCGGUCAUGUCACCGGCCAUGAACUAUGUCAAACGAAACGCCGUAUCACUAGGGACUGGCCAAGCCGCCAACCGUCGCAAGCAGCCAGAGGUUGUUUGUCGGAAUAAGGCAGCUGAAGCCGCGGUGGAACACAACAAAAACAGGGCCGAUCUGGCCACCUUAGACCACGCCACCGUUCUCGGAUGCCACCUGCGUGUUCUGUGAUGUGAGGCCGACCUAACUCAACUAGCAGCUGAUCGGAAUAGAGAUCGGAGUAGGAAGAACCAGUUUUGACAUGUUGACCCGACCCAGUGUUACUUGUUAGCUGAUCCGGUAGUCUCUUUAAUAUUUAUUAUAUUCAUUGAAGAAAAUAAGAACAAGGUUUUGAUUCCAAGAUUGGUGUUAGGCAGGUUUGAACGCAGAAUGAAUGGCCUCGGGUACACAGUAACACCGAGCCUGUACCUACUAUUUGUGUUGAAUUGUUUCUAAAGAAGAAGAGUGGUGGGCCCAUGGCUUUAGAGUUGUUAGACCUUAAAUGGUGAAGGUGAUGGUGGUGACUCUCUAGAAGCGUUGCUAGAUUUCGCAUUGGUGUCGAGGUGAGUACGUAGUUGGUGGCCAGCUUCUCGAGGCGUGAGCGGUGUCCCCAUGGAUACAGUUGUGGUUUAUGGGUAGCAUAGGGUUUGAUUAUUAAAGACUUCCGCUUUGUUAAAUUUUAAAGACUUAUUAAUUAUCUCUUAAUGGAUUUCUAAAUGCAUUUUAUUCAUUUUUUUGGGAUUAUAUUAAAUGAUUUUGGAGGAUUUACAU